rnacentral:rRNA from 1 species
GUGUCAGCCGCCGCGGUAAUACGGAGGGAGCGAACGUUGUUCGGAUUUACUGGGCGUAAAGGGUGUGUAGGCGGUCUUGCAAGUCAGGGGUGAAAUCUCUCGGCUCAACCGAGAAACUGCCUUUGAGACUGCAGGACUUGAGGGCGUGAGAGGAGACUGGAAUUCCUAGUGUAGCGGUGAAAUGCAUAGAUAUUAGGAGGAACACCAGUGGCGAAGGCGAGUCUCUGGCACGCAUCUGACGCUGAAACACGAAAGCCAGGGGAGCGAACGGGAUUAGAAACCCUCGUAGUCC